CCUACGGGAGGCAGCAGUAGGGAAUAUUGCUCAAUGGGGGAAACCCUGAAGCAGCAACGCCGCGUGGAGGAUGAAGGUUUUCGGAUUUUAAACUCCUUUUGUUAGAGAAGAUAAUGACGGUAUCUAACGAAUAAGCACCGGCUAACUCCGUGCCAGCAGCCGCGGUAAUACGGAGGGUGCAAGCGUUACUCGGAGUCACUGGGCGUAAAGAGCGCGUAGGAGGGAUAACAAGUCAGAUGUGAAAUCCUAUGGCUUAACCAUAGAACUGCAUUUGAUACUGUUAUUCUAGAGUAUGGGAGAGGUAGGUGGAAUUCUUGGUGUAGGGGUAAAAUCCGUAGAGAUCAAGAGGAAUACUCAUUGCGAAGGCGACCUGCUAGAACAUAACUGACGCUGAUGCGCGAAAGCGUGGGUAGCAAACAGGAUUAGAUACCCGAGUAGUC
rnacentral:rRNA from 1 species